rnacentral:rRNA from 1 species
CCUAACACAUGCAAGUCGAGCGGUAGAGAGAAGCUUGCUUCUCUUGAGAGCGGCGGACGGGUGAGUAAUACCUAGGAAUCUGCCUGAUAGGUGGGGAUAACGUUCGGAAACGGACGCUAAUACCGCAUACGUCCUACGGGAGAAAGCAGGGGACCUUCGGGCCUUGCGCUAUCAGAUGAGCCUAGGUCGGAUUAGCUAGUUGGUGAGGUAAUGGCUCACCAAGGCUACGAUCCGUAACUGGUCUGAGAGGAUGAUCAGUCACACUGGAACUGAGACACGGUCCAGACUCCUACGGGAGGCAGCAGUGGGGAAUAUUGGACAAUGGGCGAAAGCCUGAUCCAGCCAUGCCGCGUGUGUGAAGAAGGUCUUCGGAUUGUAAAGCACUUUAAGUUGGGAGGAAGGGCAUUAACCUAAUACGUUGGUGUCUUGACGUUACCGACAGAAUAAGCACCGGCUAACUCUGUG